AGAGACGUUUGCUGGUUAAGUCUAGCUCUGAGUGCCGUCCAACUAGCCAGUACAGUUUGUGCAUUUUUUGUUUGAUUUACAACUUUUUCUGGCGUACAUGAUGUUUCCAGGUAAGUCGUGAGUCAUGGUGCAUUUCUAGAUAUUUCGCUGAGUCAUUUUGCGGAAUUAUCUGCUGAUUUAGCGUGCUUGGGAUGUGUGUGGUUUUACGUAAGGUUUAGUUAACGUGCAUCGACUUAUCUCCAUUAAUUUUUAUUUUCCAUCGUUUCGUUCAGUUGUAAACGGUGUUGAUUGUCGUUUGUAGGAUC